rnacentral:lncRNA from 1 species
UACGCACUUAAGUGAGGAACUGCUUUCCUCUUGUCCAUUUUAAUUUUUUAAUGAUUUACAACUCAUAAAACACCCACACUAGAUGACUCAGAGCUAUUAAUCGAAGGAGAAGUGUAUUAUCAAUUGAAUUUCACAUAGCCACUAAUUGAGGAGUUGCAAAUAUAGAAGAAACAUGGAAAAUGGUGAAUGUUUGGAAAUCUAGUUUCUAGGGGCCUGUACUGACUGAGAAGUUGCUACAAUUUGAGCAGUGAUAUUGGCAUACUGGAUAGCUGUGUGCUGCAUCCCGUACUGAUCCGGGAGGCCGUAUUCUGCAAAGU